GUGUAAAGGAACUUGUGAUUGGCAUUCUCAGCAUCACAGCUUUGUGAACAUGGAUCGACUUCGACAGGUCAAGAAAACAACGACCUGCAGACGGAGAUUGAACCUAACACUACCAAGCAAUACAUGGGUCAUGGGAUGGGACGAAAGAGAAGAGAAGGGUGAAGGGACAUGCAGGAUGCGCAUAGCAGAGCAGACACGCACGCACAAGGACGUCGUCUCAUGGCCAGGUGGUGAACUCGAAGACCUUGCCGACGAUCUCGAGCCCGGUGGGGAUCUGCCAGACGAAGAGCAGGACGUUGACGGCGUUGAGCGCGAUGUGCAGGCUGCGGGCCGUCUCGUCCCCCUUCUGCAUCGCCGGGACGAGCGCGGCCGCGGCGGCCCACAGCACGGUGAUGGCGGCGCCCGCGAAGAGGUGCGGGCCCGGGAACAGCUUGCCGGUGCGGAACCAGGUGUUGAGCGCGCCGCCGACGGACUCGAGCACGCCGAGGCCGAGGAGGAGGGAGCCCGCGUUGAAGUGGCGGUCCCGGAACGACCCCUUGAGCAGCGCCUUCCGCUCGUCGGUGAGCUCCUCGAUCCGGGCCUCCGCCGGCGACGGCGACUUGCUGGCCGCAGCGGGCGGCGGGGUUGUGGUGGAGGAGGAGUCCGCGCCGGCGCCGACCGCCGCGGGAGUGGCCGCGGCGGCGGGCUUGAGCUGCUUCUUGAGCGCGUUGAUCUCGUCCUGGACGGUGCGCACCCGGCGCCACUGCCAGCCGAGGUACCCCGCCCAGAGCGUGUACGCGAAGAGCCCGCCCAUGAUGAGCGGGUGCAGCAGCGCGAAGCUGCGGCCCUCGAGGAUCCCCAACUCGCCGCCCACCGCCAGCGCCGCGUCCGCCGGCAGCAGCAGCAGCGCCGCCACCGCCGCCGCGGACACCGGCGCCACCGCCUCCAUGGGAGGCCUGGAGCACCGGCACCGGGUGGUGCCUGGUGGUAGUAGACGCGGCCUGCUGCUCUUGGACGGAGGGGCCGGCCGGCCGGUGGUACCGGCUGCCGUGCAGGUCACUGGGAGGAGGAGGAGGCGGGCCCGGACGGCCGUGAGCGGCGCGGCCAUGGCGCUGCUGCUUCUUCCCUUGGCGUGUGGUCGGUGAGGCGGUGACAGACACUGAC
rnacentral:misc_RNA from 1 species